rnacentral:rRNA from 1 species
AACGAACGCUGGCGGCAUGCCUAACACAUGCAAGUCGAACGAGACCUUCGGGUCUAGUGGCGCACGGGUGCGUAACGCGUGGGAACCUGCCCUUAGGUUCGGAAUAACUCCCCGAAAGGGGUACUAAUACCGGAUAAUGUCUUCGGACCAAAGAUUUAUCGCCUUUGGAUGGGCCCGCGUUGGAUUAGCUAGUUGGUAGGGUAAAAGCCUACCAAGGCGGCGAUCCAUAGCUGGUCUGAGAGGAUGAUCAGCCACACUGGGACUGAGACACGGCCCAGACUCCUACGGGAGGCAGCAGUGGGGAAUAUUGGACAAUGGGCGAAAGCCUGAUCCAGCAAUGCCGCGUGAGUGAUGAAGGCCUUAGGGUUGUAAAGCUCUUUUACCCGGGAUGAUAAUGACAGUACCGGGAGAAUAAGCUCCGGCUAACUCCGUG